rnacentral:rRNA from 1 species
GGUGGCAUGGUUGUCGUCAGCUCGUGUCGUGAGAUGUUGGGUUAAGUCCCGCAACGAGCGCAACCCUCGCCUCUAGUUGCCAGCAUUCGGUUGGGCACUCUAGAGGGACUGCCGGCGACAAGUCGGAGGAAGGUGGGGAUGACGUCAAAUCAUCAUGCCCCUUAUGACCUGGGCUACACACGUGCUACAAUGGGCGGUACAAAGGGCUGCGAACCCGCGAGGGGGAGCGAAUCCCAAAAAGCCGCUCUCAGUUCGGAUUGCAGGCUGCAACUCGCCUGCAUGAAGCCGGAAUCGCUAGUAAUCGCGGAUCAGCAUGCCGCGGUGAAUACGUUCCCGGGCCUU